UAGGGAAUCUUCCACAAUGGACGCAAGUCUGAUGGAGCAACGCCGCGUGAGUGAAGAAGGUCUUCGGAUCGUAAAGCUCUGUUGUUGGUGAAGAAGGAUAGAGGCAGUAACUGGUCUUUAUUUGACGGUAAUCAACCAGAAAGUCACGGCUAACUACGUGCCAGCAGCCGCGGUAAUACGUAGGUGGCAAGCGUUGUCCGGAUUUAUUGGGCGUAAAGCGAGCGCAGGCGGAAUGAUAAGUCUGAUGUGAAAGCCCACGGCUCAACCGUGGAACUGCAUCGGAAACUGUCAUUCUUGAGUGCAGAAGAGGAGAGUGGAACUCCAUGUGUAGCGGUGGAAUGCGUAGAUAUAUGGAAGAACACCAGUGGCGAAGGCGGCUCUCUGGUCUGCAACUGACGCUGAGGCUCGAAAGCAUGGGUAGCGAACAGGAUUAGAUACCCUGGUAGUCCAUGCCGUAAACGAUGAGCGCUAGGUGUUGGGGCACUUU
rnacentral:rRNA from 1 species